AGGUGAUCCACCCACCUCAGCCUCCCAAAGUGCUGGGAUUACAGGCGUGAGCCACUGUGCCCGGCCGAGGCUACAAGAUUCUGACCAGUCCCCAAAUUGCUCUUGGGGAUAACAUCACUAUAUAAAACCUAAGAUCAUGCUCGCUUCAGCAACACAUAUACUAAAAUUGGAACUAUACAGAGAAGAUGAGCACAGCCCCUUGUGCAAGGAUGACAUGCAAAUCCAUGAAGCGUUCCAUAUUUGUUAAUUUUUUAAUUUUUUUUAAAUUAUAUACCUAGGCCGGGUAUGGUGGCUCAUGCCUGUAAUCUCAGAACUUUGGGAGGCCGAGGCAUCUGUCUCAAAAUAUAUAUAUAUGUGUGUGUGUGUGUGUGUGUGUGUGUGUGUACAUAUAUACAUACAUACGUGUCAUAUAUAUGUUAUAUAUUAUAUAUAUGACAUAGUAUCAGUGCUUGAGAUAUUUUGCACACCCUACACUUGAUUGGCUGGGCGCAGUGGCUCACGCCUGUAAUCCCAACACUUUGGAAGGCCAAGGCAGGCGGAUCCCUUGAGGACGGGGGAGUUUGAGAGCAGACUGGCCAACAUGGCAAAACCCUGUCUCUACUAAAAAUACAAAAAUUAGCUGGGCGUGGUGGCAGGUGCCUGUAGUCCCAGCUUCUCAGGAGGCUGAGACACGAGAAUCCCUUGAAGGGGAGGUUGCGGUGAGUCAAGAUCAUUGCACCACUGUACUCCAGCCUGGGCAACAGAGUGAGACUCUGUCUCAAAAAACAUAAAUAAAAUAAAAAAGACCUUGCACUUGAUGGAUCAGCUGACACCACCCAGAUUAAUCUUGUGGCUCCCCCACCCAGGAACUGACUCGGCAAGAGGAUACUUUCGACUACCUAAGAUUUCUUUUUUUUUUCCUUUGAGAUGGAGUCUCACUCUGUCGCCUAGGCUGGAGUGCAGUGGCAUGAUCUUGGCUCACUGCAAUCUCUGCCUCCUGGGUUUCAGUGCUUCAGCCUCCCAGGUAGCUAGCUGGGGUUACAGACAGCGCCACCACGCCCGGCUAACUUUUUGUUUUUGUUGUUGUUUUUGAGACAGAGUCUCGCUCUGUCACUAGGCUGGAAUGCAAUGGCUGGAUCUCAGCUCACUGCAACCCACACCUCCCAGAUUCAGGAUUCUUCUGCCUCAGCCUCCCAAGUAGCUGGGACUACAGGCACAUGCCACCACACCCAGCUAAAUUGUAUUUUUAGUAGAGACAGGGUUUCACCAUAUUGGCCAGGAUGGUCUCGAUCUCUUGACCUCGUGAUCCGCCCACCUUGGCCUCCGAAAGUGCUGGGAUUA
rnacentral:lncRNA from 10 species